UGCAAGUCGAGCGAAGCACUUUGCUUAGAUUCUUCGGAUGAAGAGGAUUGUGACUGAGCGGCGGACGGGUGAGUAACGCGUGGGUAACCUGCCUCAUACAGGGGGAUAACAGUUAGAAAUGACUGCUAAUACCGCAUAAGACCACAGCACCGCAUGGUGCGGGGGUAAAAACUCCGGUGGUAUGAGAUGGACCCGCGUCUGAUUAGCUAGUUGGUAAGGUAACGGCUUACCAAGGCGACGAUCAGUAGCCGACCUGAGAGGGUGACCGGCCACAUUGGGACUGAGACACGGCCCAAACUCCUACGGGAGGCAGCAGUGGGGAAUAUUGCACAAUGGGGGAAACCCUGAUGCAGCGACGCCGCGUGAGCGAAGAAGUAUUUCGGUAUGUAAAGCUCUAUCAGCAGGGAAGAAAAUGACGGUACCUGACUAAGAAGCACCGGCUAAAUACGUGCCAGCAGCCGCGGUAAUACGUAUGGUGCAAGCGUUAUCCGGAUUUACUGGGUGUAAAGGGAGCGUAGACGGAUGGGCAAGUCUGAUGUGAAAACCCGGGGCUCAACCCCGGGACUGCAUUGGAAACUGUUCAUCUAGAGUGCUGGAGAGGUAAGUGGAAUUCCUAGUGUAGCGGUGAAAUGCGUAGAUAUUAGGAGGAACACCAGUGGCGAAAGGCGGCUUACUGGACAGUAACUGACGUUGAGGCUCGAAAGCGUGG
rnacentral:rRNA from 1 species